rnacentral:rRNA from 1 species
GAUGAACGCUGGCGGCGUGCCUAAAACAUGCAAGUCGAGCGGCAGCGAGUUCCUCGCUAAUGUUCGGAUUUGUUUACCAAUGAUGCAAGUAAUUUAGUCAGAGUAACAAAGUAACGACUAGUUGUUUAAGUUAAAAGGUAGAUUUAAUAUUCCGGAUAUGAGCGAGGAAUGUCGGCGAGCGGCGGACGGCUGAGUAGCGCGUAGGAACAUACCCCAAAGUGAGGCAUAACCGCCCGAAAGGGUGGCUAAUACCGCAUAUUGUCUUCGGAUGAAAGCUUUUAGCGCUUUGGGAAUGGCCUGCGUUUGAUUAGCUAGUUGGUGAGGUAAGGGCUUACCAAGGCGAUGAUCAAUAGCUGGUUUGAGAGAAUGAUCAGCCAGACUGGAACUGAGACACGGUCCAGACUCCUACGGAGGCAGCAGUUGGAAUUUUCACAAUGGGAAGCUGAUGAGCAACGCGCGUGCAGGAGAAUGCUCGGUUGUAA